rnacentral:rRNA from 1 species
UACGUAGGGUGCAAGCGUUGUCCAGAAUUACUGGGCGUAAAGAGCUCGUAGGUGGUUUGUCGCGUUGUUCGUGAAAACUCACAGCUCAACUGUGGGCGUGCGGGCGAUACGGGCAGACUGGAGUACUGUAGGGGAGACUGGAAUUCCUGGUGUAGCGGUGAAAUGCGCAGAUAUCAGGAGGAACACCGGUGGCGAAGGCGGGUCUCUGGGCCGAUACUGACGCUGAGGAGCGAAAGCGUGGGGAGCGAACAGG